UCCGACUUGUCGUUCCGGGCUGGACAGGACGGAGGGGAAUCCAACGGAUCACAUUUUAGGAACUACCGCGUUUGCACCGAGAACAGCGAUCUUCCACAAGGAACCUGGUUCCGGAAAGCGAUGCCCUUUACUCUGAGGAGUCCAACCUCCAAAAAUGCGCCUGGAAGGGCUGCGCAGGUGCAGACAGACCUAUUGAGAAGAUAGAAGACUUACUUUCAUCAUCUGAAUCAAAUCCAAAGAGUGUCUGACAUUUCUUUUGUGCAAGGUGCGGAAGCAGCUGUUCCACCUAAUUCAUAGAAACAAAAACAGAAAGUCAAGCAAAUGAGGAGACAGAGGAAUAUGCUCCAAAUGAAAGAACAAGGAAAAAACCUCAGAAAAAGAACUAAAUGAAACAGUAGGAUCCACCCUGGGCGUGGAGCCCAAUGCAGGGCUUGAACUCAUGACCCUGAGAUCAAGACCUGAGCUAAGAUCAAGAGUCAUACACAACCCAAUGAGCCACCCAGACACCCCUGAAGAAAAAGUUAACAACCUGGUAAAACACUGGAAGAGGACUAUCCCACAGAAAAGAAACACAAGUGAAUUUUUUUUCAAAUAUGAAAAGAUGUUCUACUUUACUCAAAGAAGUAAAAAUUUAUGAAGAUGAAAUACCUUUCCUAUCAUAUUUAUGAUAGGAAUGAAAAUGCUGACGGCUCUGAUGUAGAGAAAUAAGCUCUGGUAUCUUGUUGGAGGUAUGGUAAGAGGUACUACCUCUUUUAAAGGGCAACACAGUAAUAGUCAUCAGAAAAUUUACAAUAUGCACAUAAUCAUUUGACUUAGCAAUUCCACUUAUAGAACUAAAUCAGCCAAAUAUACACACAUUAGCUCAAAGACUAUAUAGGGAUAUGCAUCCACAAAUGAUUUGUAACAGCAAAAGAACAGAAACAUACUAAAUGUCUACCACAGGGGGCUGGGAAAAUGAAUUACAAUACACCUAUACAAUGAAAUAUAAUACAAAUGUUAAUGAGAAUAUUAGAAUACACUUAAAUCUAUAUGAAUAGAAGAGGGGAAAAUUCCAAGAUAUACUGUUAAGAAAAGAUGCAGAAAUAUAUUAACUACAUUAUCAUUUGUGUGAAGGGAGGGAGGGGAUAGAGGGCACAUGAAUACCAAUGCAUAUUGUCAAAGUAUCUAGAGGGAUAUGCAACAAACUGGUAAAAGCAGUCGACUCCACGUAAGUAAAACAGAAUUUGGGGGCCAGAAAUGUAAAGAAUUGUCAUUAUUAACCCUUUUGCAAUUAUUUAUUUUACUAUUGAUGAAUAUGAAAAAAGCCCCAUCAAUGUACCCCUGGAAUCUUCUCUAUCCCUAUACCAUUAAUUCACAUCUACAUCAUCUUUAAAUUUCUAAUAGACCUUUCCUAUGCUAUUCCACACUCACUCACUCAUAAGUACAUGUUUGAUAUAGCUGCCGCCAUUGUUAUCAUCCUAAAACACAGAAUGAUUUGACUUAACAGACUUUACAAACUGCUGUUUGGAUUGUACCAUCUAAAAGCAAAGACAUUCAGAGGACACACUUAUUUUGUAUGGAUAAAAUAUUUUUUAAAAAUAUUUUAGUUGCUAAUACUUAAAAACUUUGCUACUUCAGACUAAAUCUAGAUUUCCCUGAGCUCCUAUGAAACAGGAACCCCUAUAACACAGGGUUUGCAUCUCUCUAUGACAAAAUAAGCUGAGCAGCUACUACCUUUAGACAGAACAUGAACCUCCUUUCCAAUUUGCCAGUCUCUGUCCACCUCUCCAACAUACUAGCUGCUUAACUGAUUUUUUUACUAACAUUCCCUUCCCAUUCUAUGUAGAUAUUUGAGAUCAUUAAUCUAUAGCAGGAAAUACAAAUUCCUUAUCUUGAUAUAAAAACUUUUAUGUCUGAUUCAAAACUAUAUUUACACACAUAACUUUUAUCAGAAAUUUUAUGCUCUCCAAUCACAGCUUCUCCCCAUUUCCUUAACUCAUAUGCUCUUAUGGUCUUUGGAUCUAUUUUGCUUCCUCAAGACCUAUUUACACAAUUUUACAUAGGAAUCUGGUCUAAAAUUCCCUUCCUUCUCUCCAAAUAUAUAGCUGAUUCUGUACUAUCAUAAUAUUGUACUUUACGUAUAUAUUAUAACCUAUUGAAACAGCGGCAUUAAGUUUGCACUAAGUAGAAGGGAAAGGGAUUGCAUCAUUAUGUUGAGUAGAUAGUAUUGACUGGUAGGGCAAUUAACUGUAUUAAAAGAGGGAGAGAGAUAGCAAAGGUUUUUAGUAGAAAUAAAAUGUUCUAUGGAGUAUAUUUAGAUCUGAGUAUGCAGACGCAUGUGACCCUGUACAAAAAAAUCCAACAAAAUAUGCAGAAUUAUAUAAUGUCUGAAUUAUGUGAAAAUGAAAGGGGAGCCAACAUAACAAAAGAUAGAGAUCUGUGCAGACCCCACUAUCGGCUACCUCAAUAACAAGGCCCAACUCCAUGAUAAUGACAUUAAAAUGUUAAAACUACAUGCAAAGUAAGAGUAAAUAAAAACAAAAGAGUAAAUAAAAACAAAUCUAGCUAGCUCUGUCUUAGGGUUUCAGGGAAGUAAACAAGUAUUUAUGUGGUAGUGAAAUCACUAGGGGAAAAAUCUAGAUUAUUUAUAGAAGUAGAAACUUCAGGCUCCAAACCUGUUGUAUUUCCUAUUGACUGGUAUAAAGGAUCAACUAAAUGUUUAGAGAUCAAGUUACCUAGCCCUCAUGGAAGAAAACUCUAUGAUGGAGGGUGAGUCCAGACUAGAACAAAGUAGGACCCCCAAAAUAUAUGUAGCAAUCUAGAGCAGGGCUGGCAGACUACUAUCCACAGGCUAAAUCUGACCCAAUGAUAGCCUGUUGAAUAAUGCAUGAUAAGAAUAGUUAGCCAUAUUUAAAUUGUUAAAAGAAGAAGAAGAAGAGAAGAAAAACCUGGAAUAACUUUUCGUGACAGGUAAAAAUGAUCUGAAAUUCAAAUAUCCUGUCAAUAAAUGAGGUAUUAUAAGAAAACAACCAUACCCAUCCAUUUACAUAUUGGCUAUGGCUGCUUGCACACUACAAUGACAGAACUGAGUAGUGGUAACAGAAACCUUAAGAGCUAAGCCUGAAAUAUUUACUGUCUGGCCCUUUACUCACCCAUGGUCUACAGCCACAGUGUUUGGGUUUCAAUCUCAGCUCCACCACUUUCUUGAUAUGUAACCCUGGGCAAGUCACUUAAUAGCUCUAUGCCUCAGUUUAUUUGUUUAUAAAACAGAAAUAAUAACUACCUUUUGUAAAGCACUUAGAACAAUCAAUCCCUGGUUGUGCUACUGAUGCUUGCUAAUAAUAAAAGUACUGUUAAUUUUUAUUA